rnacentral:tRNA from 1 species
GGAUGGAUCAUUAACACUUAUCCAAGUACCUACUAGUAACCAUGUGGUCACCAGAAAAAAGCUUCUUCGACCCGGAUGAUAGGAACCCACAAACAGUAGGGCCCAGCAUUGGACUCCUGGGACUUCGAGCUCCGCCGCCGCCGCGAGGAGCGAGAUAACCUAAGGAGACCGGCGCGUUACAAAGGCCGUUCCUCUUGAUAGAAGCUUGCAUCGGGACUAGAGUUUCGUGUCCCCCAACUUUUAGGGGAUGUAGCUCAGCUGGUAGAGCGCACCGUUAGCAACGGUGAGGCCUGGAGUUCAAUCCUCCACUUCUCCAAACGGGACACGAUUCUUGAAAGCCCGACACUCCGUCAUGGGAGGGACGAUGUAAACCUCCCCCGGAAGAAGUCCCUUCGGGGACGGGGCGCCGCAGUUUUUCUCUUGGCUACUGUUUUGUAUGUCGGACCUAAACGCUUAUGUAACCAUCAGUCUGAUUAAAGGGUUGGCCCGAAAGGGUUUUCAACUUUCAAUUUUUAUUCGCGUAAACUUUUUAUACAACUGUUAGCAACGGAUAUCUUGGUUCUCGCAACGAUGAAGAGCGCAGCGAAAUGCGAUACGUAGUGCGAAUUGCAGAAUUCAGUGAAUCAUCAAAUUCUUGAACGCAAAUUGCGCUCCUGGGAUAGCCCUGGGAGCACGCUUCUUUGAGUAUCGGUUCACCCCACCCUCGGCGGCGUUGCCAAAAAAAGCUUGCUUUUCUUUGUGCCAACGUGCAGCCGGACAAUGGGCGUCACAGCUAGAGUGUGCACUUUAGUAGCUGUGUCGCCUCAAGCUCAGAGCGCCAUAGUUUGCAUCAAGCUCAAUUACGACCCGCAAUGCUGGGACGAAUAAUGGGUACACACCCCAAACUAUUCUGUCACUUCAAACUGGCAUUGUUGGCCUGAGCUCGAUACACAGUGCGCUGUUGGAAUUACCGGGAAGUUUUUCCCCUCAAAAGGAAAAACAUUCCCUUCGAAAUAGAUCUCAGAUGAAGCGAGAAAACCCGCCGGACUUAAGCAUAUUAUUAAGCGGAGGAAAAGAAACUAACAAGGAUUCCCCUAGUAACGGCGAGUGAAGCGGGAAGAGCUCAACUUGAAAAUCGGUGCUCCACGCGGGGUAUCGAGUUGUAGUCUAGAGACGUGACAUCAGCGUGUGACCCAGCUAUAAAUCUUUUGGAACAAGGUAUCAUAGAGGGUGAGAAUCCCGUCUUUGAGCUGGAGUUCGCCGCGUACGAUACACGUUCAACGAGUCGAAUUGGUCGGGAUUCCAGUUCUAAAUGGGUGGUAAAUUUCAUCUAAAGCUAAAUACAGGCGAGAGACCGAUAGCGAACAAGUACCGUGAGGGAAAGAUGAAAAGAACUUUGAAAAGAGAGUUAAAAAGUACUUGAAAUUGUUAACAGCGAAGCGCUGGAAACCAGUCGUGCCCGGUGUCUAUAUUUAUUAUCCGCACGUCUUGGACUGUUCUUGAGAGUGCUUACGCCUCCUCAGGGGCAGCCCGGGGCGGCGCGGGUGAGUUCUGUAGCGCCGGGUGAGUCAGAAUCGGUUGGUCUCGCAGGAGAAAGCCGCGAGGAAGGUAGGCGGGAGGCAUUUCGGUGCUAACCGCUGUUAUAGCCUUGCGGAAAUACUGUGGGGUCGACCGAGGAAACUUAAAUGCGCACCUUCCCCUUCGGGGGGGGCUGGAUGCCCCGUCCCUGCCCUGCCAUCCUCUUUGGACAGCAAAGCUGUGCGAGUGGAGAAGCGAGGUACUGGGCGGGAUACAUCACAUGCGUGUUCGGGAUUCUGACGAAAUGGUUUCCAUUGACCCGUCUUGAAACACGGACCAAGGAGUCUAACAUAUAUGCGAGUAUUUGGGUGGUAAACCCUGGUGCGUAAUGAAAGUAAAGGCAGCCUCGUGCUGCUGAGGUAGGAACCCUGGCCCGCCGGGCCGGGGGGCACUAUCGACCGAUCUGGCACUUGUGAAAGAUUUGAGUAAGAGCAUAUCUGUUGGGACCCGAAAGAUGGUGAUCUAUGCCUGAACAGGGCGAAGCCAGGGGAAACUCUGGUGGAGGCUCGUAGCGAUACUAACGUGCAAAUUGUUCGUCUGAUUUGGGUAUAGGGGCGAAAGACUAAUCGAACCAUCUAGUAGCUGGUUCCCUC